UACAGAGGUCUCAAGCGUUGUUCGGAUUCAUUGGGCGUAAAGGGUGUGUAGGUGGCGCCGUAAGUCGGGUGUGAAAUCUCGGGGCUUAACUCCGAAACUGCAUUCGAUACUGCUCUGCUUGAGGACUGGAGAGGAGACUGGAAUUCACGGUGUAGCAGUGAAAUGCGUAGAGAUCAUGAGGAAGACCAGUGGCGAAGGCGGGUCUCUGGACAGUUCCUGACACUGAGGCACGAAGGCCAGGGGAGCAAACGGG
rnacentral:rRNA from 1 species